rnacentral:rRNA from 1 species
GUGGGGAAUAUUGCACAAUGGGGGAAACCCUGAUGCAGCAACGCCGCGUGAAGGAUGAAGGUUUUCGGAUCGUAAACUUCUUUGAUGAGGGACGAAAAAUGACGGUACCUCAAAAACAAGCCACGGCUAACUACGUGCCAGCAGCCGCGGUAAUACGUAGGUGGCGAGCGUUGUCCGGAUUUACUGGGUGUAAAGGGCGUGUAGGCGGGAAUGUAAGUCAGAUGUGAAACUCCGGGGCUCAACUUCGGAACUGCAUCUGAAACUAUGUUUCUUGAGUGCUGGAGAGGAAAGCGGAAUUCCUAGUGUAGCGGUGAAAUGCGUAGAUAUUAGGAGGAACACCAGUGGCGAAGGCGGCUUUCUGGACAGUAACUGACGCUGAGGCGCGAAAGCGUGGGGAGCAAACAGGAUUAGAAACCCGGGUAGUCC